ACCNGAGCACUAUGAAUGUAUAAAGAUUUAAAACUCAAAGGACUUGGCGGUGUUUUAGACCACUCAGGGGAACCUGUCUCGUAAUCGAUAAUCCGCGUUGCACCUGACCUCUUUUUGUUCUCAGUUUGUAUACCGUUGUCGUCAGGUAACUUUUUAGAAACUAGAAGUUAGCUAUAGAAAUAAUUGAUAGUUUAAUACGUCAAAUCAAGGUGCAGCUUAUAUAGAGGGGAGGAUGGGUUACAAUUAUAUAAUUUAUAAUAACGGAGAUACAUAUGAAUAUGUGUUAAUUAUAAGGUGGACUUGAAAGUAAAUUGGAAUAUAUAAGUAAUUUGAAUAAGGCUCUGAAACGUGU
rnacentral:rRNA from 1 species